rnacentral:rRNA from 1 species
AAGUCGUAACAAGGUCUCUCGGAGCAGAUCCUUCUGCCAGCGAUCCUUGGAAGCCUUUGCGCCCUCGCAAGAGGGGGUUCAGCGACUCUAAACAAGAACCGCGCAAGUAGCCCUCGCGGCUGCAACAUGAUCGAAUUGCGGGGAAACUCCUAAAGCUCUCGGUACCAACCCGCCCGCAGAAAUGCGGCGGGGGCCUGCGCUAACCACGCGGGGCGGUAAGAAUCCGGGAGAUGCUACAAUGGGUGAUCCGCAGCGAAGCCCCUACUGGCGCAAGCCCACGGAGAACGUUCACAGACUAGGUGGUCACGGGCAGCGUCCGCUGCUUAAGAUAUAGUCGGGCCGCCGGAGAAAUCCGGCGGGGUACUCGCUGAGUAUGAACCGUUCCGUUGGUGAACCAGCGGAAGGAUCAUUACAGAGAUCAUGCCCUCGCGGGUAGACCUCCCACCCUGUGUUAUUUACCAUUGUUGCUUUGGCAGGCCGCCCUCGGGCUCUCGGCCUCGGCUGAGGAGCGCCUGCCAGAGGACCCCAACUCUUGUGUUUACGUGUCGUCUGAGCAUUAUAUAUAAGUUAAAACUUUCAACAACGGAUCUUCUUGGCUCUGGCAUCGAUGAAGAACGCAGCGAANUGCGAUAAGUAAUGUGAAUUGCAGAAUUCAGUGAAUCAUCGAAUCUUUGAACGCACAUUGCUNCCCCUUGGUAUUCCGGGGGCAUGCCUGUUCGAGCGUCAUUUCACCCUCACGCCAGCGUGNUCUUGGGCUCUGCMGGCGACGGCUUGCUAAAAAUCAGUGGCGGUGCCAUCGANNUCUACGCGUAGUAAUAAAACCUCGCUUCUGAGUCUCGGUGGACGCUUGCCAGCAACCCCAANUUUUCCAUGGUUGACCUCGGAUCAGGUAGGGAUACCCGCUGAACUUAAGCAUAUCAAUAAGCGGAGGAAAAGAAACAACAGGGAUUUCCUCAGUAACGGCGAGUGAAGCGGUAACAGCUCAAAUUGGAAAUCUGGCCCUCUCAGGGUCCGAGUUGUAAUUUGUAGAAGAUGCUUCGGGUGUGGCUCCGGUCUAAGUUUCUUGGAACAGGACGUCAUGGAGGGUGUGAAUCCCGUAUGUGACUGGCUGCCUCCGCCCGUGUGAAGCUCUUUCGACGAGUCGAGUUGUUUGGGAAUGCAGCUCAAAAUGGGUGGUAAAUUUCAUCUAAAGCUAAAUAUUGGCCAGAGACCGAUAGCGCACAAGUAGAGUGAUCGAAAGAUGAAAAGCACUUUGGAAAGAGAGUUAAACAGUACGUGAAAUUGUUGAAAGGGAAGCGCUUGCAAUCAGACUUGCGCGCGGCCGAUCAUCCGGGGUUCUCCCCGGUGCACUCGGCCGCGUUCAGGCCAGCAUCGGUUUGGGUGGCUGGAUAAAGGCCUUGGGAAUGUAGCUUCUUUCGGGGAGUGUUAUAGCCCUCGGUGCAAUGCAGCCUGCCCGGACCGAGGACCGCGCUUCGGCUAGGAUGCUGGCGUAAUGGUUGUAAGCGAC